AAAAGCUCAGUGGCUCGACUUGUAGGUUGAAAUCAUAUCCCCGACUUUGCUGAAACUGCUCUGAAAUCUCUAACUUGGAGCCAUCCGCACGAAUCGCUCCACAACAUUUACUGCCGGUUCAAUCGGAUUUCCACUUGUCGGGCCAGAAGAGGGUGAGGAGCAACGGACGUACGGAGUGAACAGUUGGCUUUAUUGAAGUUCACGCUGGGUUUAUCAGCAGCGGUACCGACAAAGGCUCACGGGACACUUUGAUCUUCAAAGAGAAGUGAGCUAGAACGAGGAGCAAUAAGAAGAUAAUAAUGCCAAUCUGCGUCAAUUACUCCAUAGAUCACAGGGUUACCCCGACAGGGACGAGCAGGAGCAGGAGGAGGAGCCGUGUUCCAUGUUACCACAUUGCCAUCUGGCGAUACGGCUGGAGACUAACCUCUGCUCCACUAGAGGGAUUUACGAAUGCACCGAGAGGUUCCUGACACAGCGGACCUACAAAAUAGGAAACUAAUGGAUCCACAACACAACCAGUUGUCCGUUAUGGAGGAAGACGAACUGCUGGAGAUUGCAAACGACGAAGUCAUACAAGUAUCUGAGAUCAGAAACGAUGAAGAACAAGCCAUUUCCAACAUCCUAAACUUAAAAAAAAAAAAAUAUGACGCAGUAGAUAAUAACAGAAGGGACCGUCUCGUUUGUAAUUGUUUCCAUGCUUUCUGUUUUAUAUAUUUUGAUAUCUUCAUUUGUUUUUUAUGCUGGCCUAAUCUUUGGACGUGGACGUCCAUGGUGCAAAAAAAAAUGGGUUGGGGGACCCAUUCUUAGCUUUAUCCAAGAGCACCACCUUGUGGCUGAUGUAGCCAACUGUCGUAGCUUUAUACUGGGAAGUUGGCGAGCUCACCCAUUUUUAAAAGCAUUUACGUUGACACAGUGAAUUAGUUUCCAGGGUGAAAUCCUGCACCUGUAUUUUUGACAAGUUACUCCUUGCACACAAUUUAUUUGAUUGUGAUUAUUCAGUUCUCCCACGACAUCUUUCCAAAUUGUUUUGUGCAAGCAACUAUUCAACCGCUCAUGAUGAAAUGUAAACAAGAUGAAUAAUGUUGAUCCUUUAUCACUCUACAAUCACAGCCCAGUUACUAAAUUACCCCCUUUUAUCUUCAGUGCUGCAAUUUUUUACCAUAUUAUCCGUUUCGAGAGCAGCUUUCAACACAAAUCGAUCACUCUGUGCUUCUGUACCGUCUGGAAACCUGCGUUAGUACAAAGGGAACCCGCUGCGUUCUCACCUCUCCAAUAGAACUUUCUCUGCUAUUAAAUGUCCUUUCUUCUGUGACUCAUUUUCAUCUUGUGGCCUUGUGGUGGGUUGAUUAUUGGGCUUCUGCUGUUGUCUAUAAACAUGAUUCUCCCUCAGCCAGAUCAUUCUGAAGCUUUAUUUAUGUGCAUGACACACGGC
ensembl:lncRNA